AUACGGAAGGUCCGGGCGUUAUCCGGAUUUAUUGGGUUUAAAGGGAGCGCAGGCGGAGAUGCAAGCGUGACGUCAAAUUUCGGGGCUCAACCCCGUCUCGCGUCGCGAACUGAGUCCCUUGGUUGCGGGAAGGGGAGGCGGAACUCGUGGUGUAGCGGGGAAAUGCAUAGAUAUCACGAAGAACUCCGAUCGCGAAGGCAGCCUUCCGGCCCGUCAACGACGCUCAUGCUCGAAGGUGCGGGUAUCAAACAGGAUUAGAUACCCUGGUAGUCCGCACAGUAAACGAUGGACACCCGCGGUUUGGCCUGUAUGGCUGAGCCGCCAAGCGAAAGCGUUAAGUGUCCCACCUGGGGAGUACGCCGGCAACGGUGAAACUCAAAUGAAUUGGCGGGG
rnacentral:rRNA from 1 species